rnacentral:lncRNA from 1 species
GAUGAGCCAUCAUUCCAUUAUUUUACAUUUGUGUAGAAAUGCUUACUGCAUCUACAAGUUGACAACUUUUCUUUAGUAUAGUUUUCAUAUUUGUUGACUCAGUAUGCCAUUGUUUAUUUUAAGCUCUGAAAGUUUCAAAAUAUCAACUAUCUUAAGUCCAUGAAUGUAUGUUUAGAUCAAUAUAAAGCAAAUGGCAUUAAAAG